AGGCCAUCGCCGGCCUUUUGGCUAAGAUCAAGUGUAGUAUCUGUUCUUAUCAGUUUAAUAUCUGAUACGCCCGAUUCGGGGCAACGUGUAAACGCAUUUUUAGAACAGGGAGCUGAAUAAGGGGCUCGCUCCGUUCGCUCCACGCAUCGACCCGGUAUUGCAGCGCCCCGGGGAACGGUGCCCCUUUG